rnacentral:rRNA from 1 species
CAGUCGCCGCGGGAAUACGAAGGGUGCAAGCGUUAAUCGGAAUUACUGGGCGUAAAGCGUGCGUAGGCGGUUUGUUAAGUCUGCUGUGAAAUCCCCGGGCUCAACCUGGGAAUGGCAGUGGAUACUGGCAAGCUAGAGUGUGUCAGAGGAUGGUGGAAUUCCCGGUGUAGCGGUGAAAUGCGUAGAGAUCGGGAGGAACAUCAGUGGCGAAGGCGGCCAUCUGGGACAACACUGACGCUGAGGCACGAAAGCGUGGGGAGCAAACAGGAUUAGAUACCCCCGUAGUCCCUGUCUCUUAUAA